AGAUAAUGAACUUGUUAAGUUUAUGUUUUGAAAACAUAAUAAAGAAUUAAAUAUUUCUAUUAUCUU
rnacentral:tRNA from 1 species